CAAACUAUAACUUUGAGGAAGUAUUAUUAUUUACAUUAAUAAGGUAACUGUGCAAUUCAGUUUAGUUUGA
rnacentral:tRNA from 1 species